UUAGCCGUAAAAUGUUGUUAGAGGUAUAAAGUCCAUUACUAUAAAGUUUUGUUAACUUUUAAUUUGUUCAAAGAAGGUGUUAAUUUGUUCAUAUUGAUUUUGAUUUGUUUUGUCCUUCUCGGUUUGACCCUGAUUUGUUUUAGUUUGUGUUAGUUGUUAAUUGUUAAUUCAGUGUUAAUUCAAUGUUGGUGUUAAUUAGGGUAGUGUUUGAAAUAGUUGUUUGGAUAUAGCUGAAUACAUUAUCCAUUUUAGUUAACCCUAGUUAGCCAAGGGUAAGGGGUUUGGUGUUGUUUGCUGGAGUUAGUAAUUUUAGGUGGUAAAUAAGGGUAGUUUAGGCAUAGAAAAGGGCUGUUUUAUGAGGAAUAGUAAUUUCACAAUCAAUAUAGGGG
rnacentral:lncRNA from 1 species